rnacentral:rRNA from 1 species
UACAGAGGGGGCAAGCGUUGUUCGGAAUUACUGGGCGUAAAGGGCGCGUAGGCGGCCCGCUAAGUCGAACGUGAAAUCCCCGAGCUCAACUCGGGAACUGCGUCCGAUACUGGUGGGCUUGAAUCCGGGAGAGGGAUGCGGAAUUCCAGGUGUAGCGGUGAAAUGCGUAGAUAUCUGGAGGAACACCGGUGGCGAAGGCGGCAUCCUGGACCUUUUCUGACGCUGAGGCGCGAAAGCUAGGGGAGCAAACGGG